rnacentral:rRNA from 1 species
UACGGGGGGGGGCAAGCGUUGUUCGGAAUUACUGGGCGUAAAGGGCUCGUAGGCGGCCAACUAAGUCAGACGUGAAAUCCCUCGGCUUAACCGGGGAACGGCAUCUGAUACUGGAUGGCUGGAGUUCGGGAGAGGGAUGCGGAAUUCCAGGUGUAGCGGUGAAAUGCGUAGAUAUCUGGAGGAACACCGGUGGCGAAGGCGGCAUCCUGGACCGACACUGACGCUGAGGAGCGAAAGCCAGGGGAGCAAACGGG